UUUCCUACGGGUGGCAGCAGUGGGGAAUUUUGCGCAAUGGGGGAAACCCUGACGCAGCAACGCCGCGUGAGUGAUGAAGGCCUUCGGGUCGUAAAGCUCUGUCAGAGGGAAAGAAGUGCAGUGGUGCUAAUACCAUCAUUGCUUGACGGUACCCUCAAAGGAAGCACCGGCUAACUCCGUGCCAGCAGCCGCGGUAAUACGGAGGGUGCGAGCGUUGUUCGGAAUUAUUGGGCGUAAAGCGCGUGCAGGCGGUCGUUUAAGUCUGAUGUGAAAGCCCCGGGCUCAACCUGGGAAGUGCAUUGGAAACUGGGAGACUUGAAUACGGGAGAGGGUAGUGGAAUUCCUAGUGUAGGAGUGAAAUCCGUAGAUAUUAGGAGGAACACCGGUGGCGAAGGCGGCUACCUGGACCGAUAUUGACGCUGAGACGCGAAAGCGUGGGGAGCAAACAGGAUUAGAUACCCCGGUAGUCGGC
rnacentral:rRNA from 1 species